rnacentral:rRNA from 1 species
UAAACGCUGAAAGCAUCUAAGCGUGAAGCCAACCUCAAGAUGAGAUUUCCCAUAGCGUAAGCUAGUAAGAUCCCUUGAAGAACACAAGGUUGAUAGGUCGGGGGUGUAAGCGUGGUAACAUGUUCAGCUGACCGAUACUAAUAGAUCGAGGGCUUGACCAAAUA